rnacentral:misc_RNA from 1 species
UGCCGGUGCCGCGUGCGCCCAACGCCACUAGGGUCGAAAGGCCACCACGGACGCGACAAUCGGUUAAAGAUAACCAAUAGAAUUAUAAUGCCGGCCGCUCAAAGGCUAUAAAGCCCACGCCCCCAUAUUCCGCAUCCGAGGGGACGAGUAGGCACACGCGGACCGUGGCUGCCACACAACAAAUUGAUGGUCGUCGGGGACGCGUGUGCUACUUUGAUGUCCUCCUCGCACCCGCAGAGGGCACAAGGAGGAAAGGGGCAACGUUGGCAACUAAUUCCGUCAUAUUAGGUAUGCAACACAAGAACCCAAGAGGCUCGAGAGACACAUGGUCCUCGUAGCAAAACAAUGAGAGGUAGCGGAGCGUAAACAGUUCGAUGCCCAGAGCAC